CCUACGGGAGGCAGCAGUGAGGAAUAUUGGUCAAUGGACGCAAGUCUGAACCAGCCAUGCCGCGUGCAGGAAGACGGCUCUAUGAGUUGUAAACUGCUUUUGUACGAGGGUAAACGCAGAUACGUGUAUCUUUCUGAAAGUAUCUUACGAAUAAGGAUCGGCUAACUCCGUGCCAGCAGCCGCGGUAAUACGGAGGAUUCAAGCGUUAUCCGGAUUUAUUGGGUUUAAAGGGUGCGUAGGUGGGUGGAUAAGUUAGAGGUGAAAUCCUGAGGCUCAACUUCGAAAUUGCAUCUGAUACUGUUCGGCUAGAGAGUAGUUGCGGUAGGCGGAAUGCAUGGUGUAGCGGUGAAAUGCUUAGAGAUCAUACAGAACACCGAUUGCGAAGGCAGCUUACCAAGCUACCACUGACGUUGAGGCACGAAAGUGUGGGGAUCAAACAGGAUUAGAUACCCUAGUAGUC
rnacentral:rRNA from 1 species